UACGUAGGGGGCAAGCGUUAUCCGGAUUUACUGGGUGUAAAGGGAGCGUAGACGGAUGUGCAAGUCUGAAGUGAAAGCCCGGGGCUCAACCCCGGGACUGCUUUGGAAACUGUGUAUCUAGAGUGCCGGAGAGGUAAGCGGAAUUCCCAGUGUAGCGGUGAAAUGCGUAGAUAUUGGGAGGAACACCAGUGGCGAAGGCGGCUUACUGGACGGUAACUGACGUUGAGGCUCGAAAGCGUGGGGAGCAAACAGG
rnacentral:rRNA from 2 species